rnacentral:rRNA from 1 species
GACAGAGGUCCCGAGCGUUAGGCGGAAUCACUGGGCUUAAAGCGUGUGUAGGCGGAUUUGUAAGUACCUUGUGAAAUCCCCGGGCUCAACCCGGGAACUGCGUCCGAGACUGGAAGGCUCGAAUCCGGGAGAGGGAUGUGGAAUUCCAGGUGUAGCGGUGAAAUGCGUAGAUAUCUGGAGGAACAUCGGUGGCGAAGGCGGCAUCCUGGACCGGUAUUGACGCUGAGGCGCGAAAGCCAGGGGAGCAA